rnacentral:rRNA from 1 species
UACGGGGGGGGCAAGCGUUGUUCGGAAUUACUGGGCGUAAAGCGCGCGCAGGCGGUCUUCCAAGUCAGUGGUGAAAGCCCGGAGCUCAACUCCGAAACUGCAUUCGAUACUGCCGUGCUUGAGGACUGGAGAGGAGACUGGAAUUUACGGUGUAGCGGUGAAAUGCGUAGAUAUCGUAAGGAAGACCAGUGGCGAAGGCGGGUCUCUGGACAGUUCCUGACGCUGAGGCACGAAGGCCAGGGGAGCAAACGGG